UAAGGAUAUUUUUCGGAACACACUUCUUAGUGUGAGAAACGCUUUGUCUGUUCAGUUUUGAGGGUUCAAUAACCUCAAGAUUAAUUCGUUCUUUGAAAACUAGAUAACAAUGUAAGGCAAAACAUAUAUACCGAUUUAAACAUAAACGGAAAUGACGUACGCUCGUCAUGGAAGUUUAGCAAACUUAUUAAU
rnacentral:misc_RNA from 1 species